UACAUGGGGUGCAAACGUUGCUCGGAAUUAUUGGGCGUAAAGCGCACGUAGGCGGUUUGUUAAGUCGGAUGUGAAAUCCCUCGGCUCAACUGAGGAAGUGCAUCCGAUACGGGCAGGCUAGAGUUCGGUAGGGGAGACUGGAAUUCCUGGUGUAGCGGUGAAAUGCGCAGAUAUCAGGAGGAACACCGGUGGCGAAGGCGGCAUCCUGGACCGGCAUUGACGCUGAGGCGCGAAAGCCAGGGGAGCAAACGGG
rnacentral:rRNA from 1 species